rnacentral:piRNA from 1 species
UGCCUUCAAAAAUUUGUUGGC